GUGGGGAAUAUUGGACAAUGGGCGAAAGCCUGAUCCAGCCAUGCCGCGUGUGUGAAGAAGGUCUUCGGAUUGUAAAGCACUUUAAGUUGGGAGGAAGGGUAGUAACCUAAUACGUUGCUACUUUGACGUUACCGACAGAAUAAGCACCGGCUAACUACGUGCCAGCAGCCGCGGUAAUACGAAGGGUGCAAGCGUUAAUCGGAAUUACUGGGCGUAAAGCGCGCGUAGGUGGUUCAGUAAGUUGGAAGUGAAAUCCCCGGGCUCAACCUGGGAACUGCUUUCAAAACUGCUGAGCUAGAGUACGGUAGAGGGUGGUGGAAUUUCCUGUGUAGCGGUGAAAUGCGUAGAUAUAGGAAGGAACACCAGUGGCGAAGGCGACCACCUGGACUGAUACUGACACUGAGGUGCGAAAGCGUGGGGAGCAAACAGGAUUAGAUACCCGAGUAGUCC
rnacentral:rRNA from 1 species